rnacentral:tRNA from 1 species
AAUAACUAAACCUCUUAUGAUAAAAGAGCUAAGGCCUUAAACCAGUUAUUA